CUAGAAUAGUUUUAAACACUUAGCUUAGCUCAUUUCCUUGUGCUGGAUUCCACUCCCCCAGUGUACCCACCCCGUCUCCUGCCAAUACGGAGCAUUUGCUCAUUUAUUUUCUUAGUUUUACAAUCACAAAAGCGGUGCAUACUCAAGCAAUGAGGAGUCUAUGAAACAAAAGUACCCAGUCUUUCGUUUCCCUGACGUACCUGUCCCCCUGACAGUGGCACCAUCAGUUUGGGCUGUAUCUUGGAGAACCUUCGUCUUCAGCCUUAAUUUUAUUUUUAAUAUGCUUCUCAGAUGCUGCAUGGGCAGAUUGGGAAUUGUUGGUGUUGGGGAAAGGACAGCCUGGGAACCUGAGAACCCGAGAGCCGUCCCUGGCCCCCUAGAAGAGGAAGAAAUAGUUUCCAGAGAGACAAAGUGCCUCGUUUAAGGCUACCAGGUCUUCUGUCUCUCACUCUUUCUCCUUCUUCAUUGCCUUAAAACCCAGCCAAAUCACACACUUAUUUCUCGAGAGACCUUUGCCAUCAUGGAGCCCAACGCUGACACAGGCUACAACAUAGGUAGCAUGUAUCAGGUAUGUAUUCCAGAGCAGGGUUGUGGCUUGUCUGAGGUCACACAGCCAGCUGAAGGUCCUUGUGACCUGCAGAGGUGGAAUCAGAGGCUCUGGGUUCUUGCUUCAGCCCAGCCACAAACAAGGUGGAAAUGCUUGGCAGGGCACUUCCUGUACUAGUCAGGACUCCAGGCUGUAGAUGACAGAAACCCAGCUGUACCUAGCUUUGGCAAAAAGAGACUUUAAUCACUCAUGCGAUCUGGAAAGGCAGAGGUGGGAUUGGGGAGGUAGCAAUCAGGGACUUGAAGUCACCAGAAGUCUCUUGGUGGCUUUGCUCCACUUUUUCCUACGUCGGAUGGGAUUUUUCUACACAGUGAGGCAUGGCUGCUGCCUGCUUUUGUUUCACGUUUCCCAGAGUUAGCCCACUGAAAAGGAAAUAAACAGCUUCUGUCUUAGCGCCA
rnacentral:lncRNA from 13 species